GGGUAUUUAUGCCUUUCCCAUUUCUGAGGUGUAAAAUUAAACUCAAAAGAUAUAAACCACAAAAAUGAAAAGUUGCAACGUUGUCACCCCAGAGCCACACGUCGCACGAUGAUCAUCUCUGAGCUCUGCUUGUGCUUCCUCUUUCUCCAUCUCUUCAACAAGAACAAGAAGCUUCUUCUUCCUCUAGCUCCGAGAGCAUGAGCAUCCUCUUUUCUCCUCUCCCAAUCUUGGCUCCUCACUCUAAAUUCCUCUCCUUGCCUUUGAAACCCAGAACAAAAUAUCAUCAAUGCAGAGUUGCCAUAAAGCCACCACCCCCCAACUUCGACUUCAAGACUGAAUUUUUCAGCGCUUCUCGGGAUGCUAUUGAAGAAAGUCAUCCGGAAUUGCUUGAUUUGGCUGAUAGUGGAACUCUGUUUCUGAUAAAGAAGAGCCAAUACGGGCCUGUUCCAUCUUGGAGAAGUGAGUUUGUGGAACCAGAGGCCAUUUGGCUAAUUGGAACAAACCAUCUUUCUUUGGAAUCGGCCGUCGAUGUUGAAAGGGUUAUUCGUGCUAUUAGGCCUGAGAAUGUGGUUGUAGAGCUCUGCAGAAGUAGGGCUGGCAUCAUGUACAUUUCAGAGGAUAAGGAUCUCAAUCAGCCCUUAAAAUCAAACAUGUUUUCUUUGAGUGGGACCGGGUUUUUUGGUGCUGUUGGUCGUAGCAUAAAUUUGGGAGGUCAAACUGCUCUAGCAUUACGAGUCUUGCUGGCGCUUUUCUCUUCAAAAAUGUCUUCAGGUGUUAAUCGUCCUUUUGGAGAUGAGUUUCGUGCUGCUCGAAAGGCUGCUGAGGACAUUGGUGCUCAAAUAGUAUUGGGGGAUCGACCAAUAGAAAUAACUCUUGAACGAGCAUGGACUUCGCUAAAGUGGAAUGAGAAGAUGAACUUGAUGGUGUCUGUCUUUAGCGGAAUUACCUCAUCUACUGAACUAUCAACGAAGGCAUUAAAGGAAUCAAAUUCUGAUGAUAGCAACUUUCAGCUGUAUGAAAAGCUAAGCUUUACAUAUCCAUCACUUCUACAGCCACUCCUGCAUGAACGUGACACGUUUCUUGCGUGGUCUCUGAAGAGGAGUAAAGCUGUGAACAAGAGUAAGCAAGUGGUAGGAAUAAUUGGGAAGGGCCACAUGAAUGGAGUUAUAUAUUCUUUGGUGUCUGAUCAAGGAAACUUGCGUUUUCGAGAUCUAGCUGGGAACAAACCUUCAAAGGAGCUCUCUGGCUGGGCUACUACUAUAUUUGGAAACUUGCUAAGAGACACUGCAAUUGGUUUCCUACUAUGGCUAUUAUAUGAACAAAUAACCAGUGGAUUGAAACUUAUUGAUUAAACUCUACUACCAACUUCCAGGCUUCUUGUACGAUCCAGAAAAGACUCGACUCAACUUACACAGAUGAAUACUUGUAUCUGCACAGCCAUUAUGAAACAAGAUCGACUCCAUUUUUUGUGAACUAUUUCUCAAGCAAGGUAGCAGAGUCAUCAAAGAGUUGUGAGGAAUGGAAUAGUUAACAUCUCUCAUUCUCUUCGAAGAAUAGUUUACGAGUCAAGAGCCAUUUUUAGAAGAAAGAAAAGGUUAGCCCAGAAAAUGAUUCCAUAGCAUUAGAAGCUCAAGUAUCCCGAAAGAACGUGUGAAAUGGAGAUGUGGAAAAGAAGAAACAGUCUUAGACCUUAUUUUUGCUAUUUAAAAAAUUGAGAAUUUGAUCCUCCAGCUAAAACAGAAUGUGUUUCAAUAGCUGGAAGAGAAUGUUACUCAGUUCUCGUAACUGGCGUGACAAAAUCUGUUUUGUUUGUCAGUGUAUUCGCUUGUUUGCAAGAAAAAGAAACAGCUGAACUAAACUCCAAAUAAGAAGCAUAAAUAGAAUGUUGUCCAUCUCAUUA